CGCCGCUCCUUGGAACCGUAUUCAGGUUUCUCUUAUCCUAAAACCCUAACGCCCCAAUCUCCGCACGCGGGAAGCUGCUGCCACCAUUUCCUCGCUCUGUAUCUGCUCCUCUGUUAGAGGGCUCAAAUGGAGCUCAUCAUCGGGCAAAGUCACAGCGGCGUGCUUGCAUUGGCGUCUUCUCGCUCCCUCCUCGGCGGCCGCUUUGCGUUGAGGUGUCUAUCUGCGCUACGCACCACGGGGUUCCAUAAAGCGGCCCACCCCAAGAACCGCACCGAAGCCCCGGACUCUUCCCUCGCCCUCUCAAGCCUUGGUUUCAAACCUCAAAUCGAGUCGGGAAGGAAGAAAGAUCGAAGCUUUGUUGAUAUUGGAACGCUGAAACCUGCCGCUACGAAGGUCUCUCCGGCGAGGGACAAGCCGAUCAAACUCAGAAAGGCAAAGCUUCAGAUUGACGAGUCUUUGUUCUCGGCCAAGUCCUUCGCCGAGCUUGGCCUGUCGCCGCGGCUGAUCGAUCGGCUAAAUGAGGCCGGCCUGACCGUUCCGACCGACGUCCAGUCUGUUGCCAUCCCUACCAUCGCGCAGAAGCACGAUGUUGUCGUUCAGUCGUACACAGGCUCUGGCAAGACAUUGGCUUACCUUCUCCCCAUACUCUCCGAAGUAGGCCCGUUGAAGAGGGUGUCCGAUGAUGGAAUGACGCCUGAACAGAAACCGGGAAUCGAUGCUGUUAUCGUUGCCCCCUCGAGGGAGUUAGGCAUGCAAAUAGUGAGGGAGGUGGAGAGGUUGCUUGGUCCUGCGGAUAAGAAGCUCGUUCAGCAGCUUGUUGGGGGUGCAAAUCGGUCACGACAGGAGGAGGCGCUAAAGAAGAACAAGCCGAUUAUCGUAGUUGGUACGCCUGGCCGUAUCGCUGAGAUUUCAGCAGCUGGGAAGCUACACACUCAUGGAUGCCAGUUUUUGGUUUUGGAUGAAGUGGACCAGCUGUUGUCUUUCAAUUACCGUGAAGAUAUGCAUAGAAUUCUGGAGCAUGUGGGAAGAAAGUCAGGAACUAAACCCAGUGGAAUAAUGGGGCCGCUUGCUAGGCGAACUGAUCGUCAGACAAUCUUGGUUUCUGCAACCAUACCAUUUUCGGUUGUGCGGGCAGCUAGGAACUGGGGACGAGAUCCUCUACUUGUCAGGGCCAAGAGUGUGGUACCUCUUGAUUCACUGCCUGCUCCAGGUCCUGGUGUUUUAGCAUCCGAUUCCGAGACGACUUCUACCACUAGCUCAGUAACUCAAGGGGCAACUGAAAGCUUGCCCCCAUCCUUGAAACAUUACUAUUGUGUUUCUAAAAUACAACACAAAGUUGACACCUUAAGGAGAUGUGUCCAUGCACUGGACGCACAAACUGUGAUUGUGUUCAUGAACAAUACCAAGCCAUUAAAGGAUGUUGUUUUUAAGCUGGAGGCUCGUGGCAUCAAAGCGGAAGAACUACACGGCGAUCUUAGCAAGCUUGCUAGAGCAACAACUUUGAAGAAAUUCAAGGAAGGUGAACUCAGAGUUCUGGUGACGAAUGAGUUGUCUGCUAGGGGACUAGAUGUGCCUGAAUGUGACCUCGUGGUCAAUCUGGAUUUGCCAACAGACUCUAUUCAUUAUGCUCAUAGGGCAGGUCGGACUGGACGCCUUGGUCGCAAGGGUAAUGUGGUCACUAUUUGUGAAGAACCUGAGGUUUUUGUUGUGAAAAAAUUGAGGAGGCAUCUAGGUGUAGGAAUCCAACCUUGUGAAUUUACAGAAGGUAAACUUGUUGUUUCCGAGGAGGAAGAAUAAGACAAUUUACCGAGCAGUGAGAUGUUUGGUACUUUGCACCUUCCUGGCACUAUGAGACUGUUAACUACCUCACCCAGAAGCAACAGUCCAUGAACUCCUAAAACACACUGAAUGAUUUACUGGCAAUGGGAAUGCAUGACUUGGCAUGGAGAAUCUCCUAUUUUCUUCUGCACAACCCAACUUUGGGGAAGAUACAUGUCAUUACAGUGAAUUAUAGACUUCUGUGAGGACUUCCCAACUUGUAAGGUGAACUUAUGGUAAAGUUUUCACAAUAUCGGCAGGUUGAUAUGGAUUUGGCAAAUGAUUGCAAAUGAAAGAGCAGUCAGCUUUUGGGAAAAGUGCUAGAAAUUAGAAAGACAUCACCUUUUGUAACAUAACUAUAUAAUAAGUUCUCUGCUCUUAUUGUUCAGUGGUCUACAUGUUGUUUUAAUAUCAUCUAUAAUAAAUUUCCACCCAAAGUAACUAAA